rnacentral:rRNA from 1 species
UACGUAGGUGACAAGCGUUGUCCGGAUUUACUGGGCGUAAAGAGCGCGCAGGCGGUCGUUCAAGUCGAGUGUGAAAGCCCCCGGCUCAACUGGGGAGGGUCAUUCGAUACUGAUCGACUCGAAGGCAGGAGAGGGAAGUGGAAUUCCCGGUGUAGUGGUGAAAUGCGUAGAUAUCGGGAGGAACACCAGUGGCGAAGGCGGCGAUCUGGGAAGAUACUGACGCUGAGGUGCGAAAGCGUGGGGAGCAAACAGG